rnacentral:rRNA from 1 species
AUUGAACGCUGGCGGCAGGCCUAACACAUGCAAGUCGAACGGUAACAGGAAACAGCUUGCUGUUUCGCUGACGAGUGGCGGACGGGUGAGUAAUGUCUGGGAAACUGCCUGAUGGAGGGGGAUAACUACUGGAAACGGUAGCUAAUACCGCAUAACGUCUCAAGACCAAAGAGGGGUACCUUCGGGCCUCUUGCCAUCGGCUUUGCCCAGAUGGGAUUAGCUAGUAGGUGGGGUAACGGCUCACCUAGGCGACGAUCCCUAGCUGGUCUGAGAGGAUGACCAGCCACACUGGAACUGAGACACGGUCCAGACUCCUACGGGAGGCAGCAGUGGGGAAUAUUGCGCAAUGGGCGCAAGCCUGAUGCAGCCAUGCCGCGUGUAUGAAGAAGGCCUUCGGGUUGUAAAGUACUUUCAGCGGGGAGGAAGGGAGUAAAGUUAAUACCUUUACUCAUUGACGUUACCCGCAGAAGAAGCACCGGCUAACUCCGUG